GGGUCUUGUUAAGCGAGAAACUCGUUUUGCUUCCCAUAGCCCCGCAAAUGAAAUUAUGUGUAAAAUUGAGGAAGCUGCUAAGCCUCUAGGCUUUAAUGUUGACAAGCAAAACUACAAGAUGAAGUUGAAAGGUGAUAAAAAUGGGAGGAAGGGUCAGCUCUCUGUUGCCACUGAGGUAAUGAGUUAAGGAAUGUAGAAUAAUUUUUCUAUAUUUGAUAAUUUGCAUUCAUAGAAAGGAAAAGGGUCAAAUAAUUUAUGUUUGAAGUUGUCAUGGUAGAAUAUGUAUGCAUUGUGCUAUGGUGCUGUACUUUGCAAUUUCAAAUAUGGACAAAAUCAGACCAUAUGCUGAUGUUGGUAGCCUCUUAUCUGCAUUAUCACUUAAACAUGAUUUAAGAAGCGCAUAUUCUUUUUAAGAACUUGCUGCCUUAGAUUCUUUUCUACCUAACAGUUUAGAUUGAAUGGACCUGAUUAAAGCCUUGAAUUCUGACUAUUUGUGCUUGGCUUGAUAAAUCUUUUAUCAUCACAUUGUGUUGUUUCCUCUAUUUAUAAUGCCAAAUGGUAAGCAGUCAGAGCAAUAUAUUUAUUAUCUAAAAUUUGUCAUAAUUUUUUUAACCGGUGAAAAUUUCUUAUAGUUUGAUAUUGUACACAUGCGCUCACACUCACGCACAAUAAUACAAUACUUAAUAAUUGAAUACUUUUGAAUUUCAGGUGUUCGAGGUGGCACCAACAUUGCACAUGGUGGAGCUCCGGAAAGUUGGCGGUGAUACACUGGAGUUUCACAAGGCAUGUCAACAUUCUCAUUUUGGAUUCAUUCACAAUAUCAUAGUGGUUCUUACUCACUUGGAAUUCUAUGAAUGAAGAAGGAAGAUCCAUUUUCACAUAAUUAUCAAUACAAUCACUGUUUACUAUUCCAUGCUGCAUUUCCUCAGUCAUCGUACAGUGAAGACUCAAGGAAUUUUAAUCCUUUGAUAGCCAAAGUUCAUGAAUGACUGAUUUUGAAUCCCUUUUCCUGAUCAUAUUGCAGUUUUAUAAAACUUUCUCGUCAGGGUUAAAAGAUAUAGUCUGGAAAUCUGAAGGAACCAUAGAAGGAUUAAAGUAACGUCUCUCUCUCCGUGCAUUUGUGGGCAGCACAUUUAAUUGAGUCAUAAUUUUCUUGUGCAGUUUAUAACAGGAGCUGCCGCAUUGUGUCCUGUGUUAAUUGAUUCAUUGUUAUUUUAGCUCCAUCGCAUGCAUGUAUGAAUCUGCAAAUUGGGCACGAUGCAUUAAAUGUUAUAUCAUUUAUGAGUGGAGUAUGAGGAAAUAGUUUGAUUUGUGCUGUAGUCUAAUUAAUGGAGUGGUGAACAGAGAAUGGACUCAGCAAAUAGAGUAUGAUAGGCAGAGGUCUGGUGAUCCCGUUGAAAGAGGGAGGGACAUGACAUGCCUAAUAGUAAUAGUGUUUAGCCCUUCAUUAUGAUUUGAUUUAUGAGCUUGGUAUGUAGUUAGAGUUGCCUGAUUUUAUAACGGAUUCUAUUUGGGCUCUCCACCCAAAUUAAGUGGGCUGCCAAUUCUUUCCAGUCAACCUGUUAAUAUGAAAAUUCUGUCUUCAUCCGCG
rnacentral:misc_RNA from 1 species